UACGUGGGGGGCAAGCGUUGUCCGGAAUUAUUGGGCGUAAAGAGCGUGUAGGCGGUCCGGUAAGUCGGCUGUGAAAGUCCAGGGCUCAACCCUGGGAUGCCGGUCGAUACUGCCGGACUAGAGUUCGGAAGAGGCGAGUGGAAUUCCCGGUGUAGCGGUGAAAUGCGCAGAUAUCGGGAGGAACACCUAUGGCGAAGGCAGCUCGCUGGGACGUUACUGACGCUGAGACGCGAAAGCGUGGGGAGCAAACAGG
rnacentral:rRNA from 1 species